AUGACGUUGCAAUUACGGCUGCUCGCAGAAUCUGCCUCGCCGCAGCCACCGCGCCCAAUCCAUGAAGUCCGCCUCUGUACCGAAAACAAUCAAUCAACAGGACCGCACAUAAUCAUCCGACCACACUCUUCAAUCCUCCGCCACCGUGAAGGCAACGCUCUGUUGAUGAAGCUUCUCCCUCCGAUUGCAGCCGCCGCAAGCACCUCCAUGGUGUUUUCUCCGUUGUUUCUGUUCCUCCUCUAG